GUUUGGGUUCCCGGGCAGGCCAGGGGAGCAGACUGUAAAUCUGCCGUCAUCGGCUUCGAAGGUUCGAAUCCUUCCCCACCACCA
rnacentral:tRNA from 1 species